AUUGAACGCUGGCGGCAUGCUUUACACAUGCAAGUCGAACGGCAGCACGGACUUCGGUCUGGUGGCGAGUGGCGAACGGGUGAGUAAUACAUCGGAACGUACCCAGUAAUGGGGGAUAACUAUCCGAAAGGAUAGCUAAUACCGCAUACGCCCUACGGGGGAAAGAGGGGGAUCGCAAGACCUCUUGUUAUUGGAGCGGCCGAUGGCUGAUUAGCUAGUUGGUAGGGUAAAGGCCUACCAAGGCAACGAUCAGUAGCGGGUCUUAGAGGACGAUCCGCCACACUGGAACUGAGACACGGGCCAGACUCCUACGGGAGGCAGCAGUGGGGAAUCUUGGACAAUGGGCGCAAGCCUGAUCCAGCAAUGCCGCGUGCGUGAAGAAGGCCCUUGGGUUGUAAAGCUCUUUCGUUUGGGAAGAAGGAGGUGUGGCUAAUAUCCACGCUGACAGACGGUACCAAAAUAAGAAGCACCGGCUAACUACGUGCCAGCAGCCGCAGUAA
rnacentral:rRNA from 1 species